UAAGUAGAAUUUGCUGCAAAAACAGGUUCUUAAUUCUAAUGACCAAGACCAAAAUCAAUGGACUGGUUAAGCACUCCUUUGGACCUAGGCGCAAAAACAUGCUGUCUUGAAGCUUGGAGCAGCCACUUUUCCAUUCCAUCAAAGUCUCUUCAAACCUGUGACCUGCAAAGAGAAAAUAGUUUAUUUUAAAAGCACUUUUCAAAAGCACUUAGAGAGCUGAAAAACAAUUAAAUGAAUCAUUCAGUUUGAAGCUUUAUCCAUAAGGUUAACCUAAGCAUCCAAAAAGCGCUUUUUACAUUAGCUUAAAACAAGAACAGAUCAAAUCCCACAUAAUCUGGGAUGAGAAAAUCGAAAUGAAAAAGGAGUUUUUUAAGGCUUAAUCCUUUCUUCAUAAUAAUAACAGAAGAGGGGUUAACGGGGAGAUACACAUCACAGUAAGAGAUUUUUCAAAAGAAACUCUAAACAUAACAACAAACACAGCAAUAAACGCAACAAAGUUAUUUUUCUUCAAAACCCAAAAUCAAGAACAACAUAAACACAUCAAAGUUAUUUUUCUUCAAAACCCAAAAUCAAGAACAACCUAAACACAAACAGAGUUUUCUUUCAAAAACCAUAAAGAACACAACAGUAAGAAAUUUCUCAAAAACCCUAAAAACUUACGGAAAAGCACCUAAACACAAACAGAGUUUUCUUUCAAAAACCAUAAAGAACACAACAGUAAGAAAUUUCUCAAAAACCCUAAAAACUUACGGAAAAGCAAAAGGAAGGUAGUUCACCUCACUGAAGAAUCGCUCGCAUUCGGAGGAUCUCACCGAACCCGGAGGAUCUCACCGAACCUGGAGAUUUUCAGAACUUCCGAUUUGGUAAACGAUUCACCUCUAUCUUCCUCCAUGAGUUCCCUUUUUGUAGAUUUUUCGGUUGAGUUUGUUUUCGUAAGAUUUUAUGUCGUGUAGCUCGAAAUUAUGAGAAGGAGAAAGAGGGAAGUGGUUCAUGAAACAGAGUUAGGGAAGAGAGAGAGUGAAGCGACGGAGAAGAGCGGAGGCUCCGCCGUGAGCCGCCGCCUCCGAUCGUCUCCUCCAAGAGAGAAGAAAUUUAGGCUUCGUGAAAGGAGGCGCUCUGUACAGAGCCCUUUCGUUUGAGUUUGGUAUGAAGAGAGAGAAAUGCUU
rnacentral:lncRNA from 1 species